UUCUCCAUCUCCUUUCUCUCUCUAACCGAGAGCCUCUCUCUCUAGCCUCCACCGGAAAUCGCCGCCACCGCCGGACGCCGCCACCGCGCCGCCGGCCGCCGCCGUCGCCGGAAUCCGGAUUUCAACCAAAAUGUCCAGAUUUUCUCCUCUUCCUUCCCUCUUUCCAUUUCUCCAACCAAAAUCAUGAAAUUUAGCCAUUUAAUCCUCCAAAAACCCUAGAACCCGAAGCUAAAAUUGGGGCUUUUGUGAUUUCUUCUUUCCAAGCUCAAAUCAAGGCUAUGGGUUUGACAAGGAUUUGUGGUGAAGAAGGCCAUGGAGGAAGCUUAGGCCGUGAGUUUUGAAGAAGAAAGGGAAACACGAUCGUUAAGGAAGCUUAAGCGGAAAGCACCAGAUUGUGGAAUACGCCGGCAUUUCCAGUGUGCAGGUUUCGAGCAUGUGGUCGGGAAGCGUACAGGGGAGGCACAUGGCACGGCUUGGCGCAUUUCUCUUUAGUUUUAUCAAAAGAAGGUUUUGGUCCUUAAUCGGAUUUUGUAGUAGCUUGUUUAUUUACUUUUUAUUUAUUUCCUACUCGUUUACAAAAAUUCCGGGAGGCCCGUAACCCUGGGGCGCGUCUCCCAUACUUGUCGUUACUUAGAGAUGUGUUUUAUUUUCCAAAUUGGGCUCCGA